ensembl:lncRNA
AGGUCCUGAAAGCUGAAUCAGAGGAGUCUUUGCAUAAUCUUAUUUUGCAAAACAGCACAAUCUUCCAAACUGCUGGAUGCCUCAGAAACGUCAAGCCUUUUGAGAAACAAGCAUUUGUGGAGGAGUACCUCAGAUGGUACAUCCUUGAAAGAAACCAAAGUGUCAUUCAACGAGCUCAUCUUGGGUUCCCGCCUUUGGCCCAUGCACCUGGCCUCAUUACUCACCUGCUGUUGAUUUACCUGAUUACCUGGCCAAUUGUCGUUGCUGGAUUGUUGAGUAACCUGUAUUCCCCUGGACCUGUUCCUGUUUUCUGUCCCUGGAUUAUCUGAGACUCGGUGAGUGGCGAGGUGUGUGUGGAGCGAGAGCGAGAUUGACUAAAGAGGAUCGUUGUAUCUGUUUGUGGACCUUUUCCCUUCCUCUCCACAGAUUCCCGGAACCCCUGACCUCUGCACGUUGUAUAUAUUGCACUUGGUGUUUCUGUAAAUAAACUGUUGACUUUCUUUUUGAAAGAA